AGUGAACGCUGGCGGUAGGCCUAACACAUGCAAGUCGAACGGCAGCACAGUAAGAGCUUGCUCUUACGGGUGGCGAGUGGCGGACGGGUGAGGAAUACAUCGGAAUCUACUUUUUCGUGGGGGAUAACGUAGGGAAACUUACGCUAAUACCGCAUACGACCUACGGGUGAAAGCAAGGGAUCUUCGGACCUUGCGCGAUUGAAUGAGCCGAUGUCGGAUUAGCUAGUUGGCGGGGUAAAGGCCCACCAAGGCGACGAUCCGUAGCUGGUCUGAGAGGAUGAUCCGCCACACUGGAACUGAGACACGGUCCAGACUCCUACGGGAGGCAGCAGUGGGGAAUAUUGGACAAUGGGCGCAAGCCUGAUCCAGCCAUACCGCGUGGGUGAAGAAGGCCUUCGGGUUGUAAAGCCCUUUUGUUGGGAAAGAAAAGCAGCAGGUUAAUCCCCCGCUGUUCUGACGGUACCCAAAGAAUAAGCACCGGCUAACUUCGUG
rnacentral:rRNA from 1 species